rnacentral:rRNA from 1 species
UACAGAGGUCUCAAGCGUUGUUCGGAUUCAUUGGGCGUAAAGGGUGCGUAGGCGGCGCGGUAAGUCGGGUGUGAAAUCUCGGAGCUUAACUCCGAAACUGCAUUCGAUACUGCCGUGCUUGAGGACUGGAGAGGAGACUGGAAUUCACGGUGUAGCAGUGAAAUGCGUAGAGAUCGUGAGGAAGACCCGUGGCGAAGGCGGAUCUCUGGACGGCUAACUGACGCUGAGGCGCGAAGGCCAGGGGAGCAAACGGG